GGAAGAAUGUCUCUAAAUAAGUGUGUUUUCCCGAAGAACCCAGCGUUACGUAAACAGUGAAUGCAGUUUGUUUUUUCGGGGCAGCAACUGAGUUUCUCAAGUGUGUUUUUUGACGAACGUUUUAUAAACAAGGCCCAGUUCGACGCUGGAUUUGCACAUUGUUUGAUACUGAAAGAUAGAGCGGUCCCAACUAUAAAAGAUCCCGGUCAUGAUUCAGAACUGCAACCAGGUGAAGCACAAGUCCUUCAAAGUCACACAUGCACUGAAGCCUCAGGAGCCGCUCUGGAAUGAAGGGUGCAAAGAAACGUCUGGAAAGUCUGGCAAGGUGAAGUCGAGGAAGAGCAGAGGCUGUAGAGCUGAUCUUGUUAUUGCAGGUUGGAUGAAAGCGGCAGGCGUUGAGUCAGGCUGAGAUUUCUGAUGUGUUAUCCUUCCUACCGCCUGAGAAUACACACACACACACACACUUCACAUUGCCAUUGCAAACCAAACAUCCUUCCCAGUAAGUACUGCAUCCUUAACCCAACCCAUCUCCAUUUUCUAAUUAAACACCACACUCAUUCAAAUCGAUAUGUUUAAAGAAAUAAUUCACCCAAAAAAAUGUUUGCUUUUUCAUCAGAACAGAUUUAUAGAAAUUUAGCAUUACGUCAUUUGUUCACCAGUGGAUCCUCUGCAAUGAAUG